UACAGAGGUCCCAAGCGUUGUUCGGAUUCACUGGGCGUAAAGGGUGCGUAGGUGGUUAGGUAAGUCCGAUGUGAAAUCUCCAGGCUCAACCUGGAAAUGGCAUUGGAUACUAUUUAGCUUGAGGAGUGGAGGGGGGGACUGGAAUUCUCGGUGUAGCAGUGAAAUGCGUAGAUAUCGAGAGGAACACCAGUGGCGAAGGCGGUUAGCUGGCCUGUAACUGACACUGAGGCGCGAAGGCUAGGGGGAGCGAACAGG
rnacentral:rRNA from 1 species